UACGUAGGGCGCAAGCGUUGUCCGGAAUUAUUGGGCGUAAAGAGCUCGUAGGCGGUCUGUCGCGUCUGCCGUGAAAACCCGAGGCUUAACCUCGGGCUGGCGGUGGAUACGGGCAGACUAGAGGCAGGUAGGGGAGAAUGGAAUUCCCGGUGUAGCGGUGAAAUGCGCAGAUAUCGGGAGGAACACCGGUGGCGAAGGCGGUUCUCUGGGCCUUACCUGACGCUGAGGAGCGAAAGCGUGGGGAGCGAACAGG
rnacentral:rRNA from 1 species